rnacentral:rRNA from 1 species
UGUUUACAACGGGGGGCAGCAGUGAGGAAUAGUGGUCAAUGGGCCCGAGCCCGCCCCCGCCAAGUCGCGCGAGGGAAGACGGUACUAUGGAUUGUAAACCUCUUUUGCCGGGGAGCAAAAAGCGGUACGCGUACCGCAUCGAGAGUACCCGGAGAAAAAGCAUCGGCUAACUCCGUGCCAGCAGCCGCGGUAAUACGGAGGAUGCGAGCGUUAUCCGGAUUUAUUGGGUUUAAAGGGUGCGCAGGCGGCGAGUUAAGUCAGCGGUAAAAUUUCGGGGCUCAACCCCGACAAGCCGUGGAAACUGG